rnacentral:rRNA from 1 species
CAUUACCGAAUUGUUAACACGAGUUGUUGCUGGUCCUCAAACGGGGGCAUGUGCACGCUCCGUUUACACAUCCACCCACACCUGUGCACCCUCUGUAGUUCUAUGGCGUGGGGGACUCUGUCCUCCUGUUGUGGUCCUACAUUCUUUACACACACACUGUAACAAAGUUUUAUGGAAUGCAUGANGCGUUUAACGCAAUACAAUACAACUUUCAGCAACGGAUCUCUUGGCUCUCGCAUCGAUGAAGAACGCAGCGAAAUGCGAUAAGUAAUGUGAAUUGCAGAAUUCAGUGAAUCAUCGAAUCUUUGAACGCACCUUGCGCCCUUUGGCUAUUCCGAAGGGCAUGCCUGUUUGAGUAUCAUGAACAUCUCAACUCUCAUGGUUUGCCAUGAUGAGCUUGGACUUUGGGGGUCUUGCUGGUCUAUGGCCAGCUCCUCUCAAAUGGAUCAGCUUGCCAGCGUUUGGUGGCAUCGCAGGUGUGAUAACUAUCUACGCUUGUGGUUUUCCACUGGGUAACCCUUCAGCAAUGGAGGUUCGCUGGAGCUCAUAAAUGUCUCUCCUCAGUGAAGACAGCUUUUUGAACGUUUGAUCUCAAAUCAGGUAGGACUACCCGCU